rnacentral:rRNA from 1 species
GGAGGUGGCGAGCGUUGUUCGGAUUUACUGGGCGUAAAGCGUGCGUAGGUGGUUUUGUAUGUCGGAUGUGAAAGCCCACGGCUCAACCGUGGAAUUGCAUUCGAAACUGCAGAACUAGAGUGCAGGAGGGGAGAGCGGAAUUCUUGGUGUAGCGGUGAAAUGCGUUGAUACCAAGAAGAACACCGGUGGCGAAGGCGGCUCUCUGGAAUGUUACUGACACUGAGGCACGAAAGCUGGGGGGGAGCGAACAGGAUUAGAUACCCUGGUAGUCCCAGCCGUAAACGGUGCACACUUGGUGUGGGGGAGAUUUAACCCUCUCCGUGCCGGAGCUAACGCGUUAAGUGUGCCGCCUGGGGAUACGGCCGCAAGGCUA